GGGACGUUAGCUCAGUUGGUAGAGCAGCUGACUCUUAAUCAGCGGGUCGUGGGUUCGAACCCCUCACGUCCCA
rfam:Enterococcus sulfureus ATCC 49903 acyDF-supercont2.5, whole genome shotgun sequence.